CCUACGGGUGGCAGCAGUAGGGAAUAUUGCUCAAUGGGGGAAACCCUGAAGCAGCAACGCCGCGUGGAGGAUGAAGGUUUUCGGAUUGUAAACUCCUUUUGUUAGAGAAGAUAAUGACGGUAUCUAACGAAUAAGCACCGGCCAAUUCCGUGCCAGCAGCCGCGGUAAUACGGAGGGUGCAAGCGUUACUCGGAAUCACUGGGCGUAAAGAGCGCGUAGACGGGAUGGCAAGUCAGAUGUGAAAUCGUAUGGCUUAACCAUAGAACUGCAUUUGAAACUGUUAGUCUGGAGUAUGGGAGAGGUAGGUGGAAUUCGUGGUGUAGGGGUGAAAUCCGUAGAGAUCAAGAAGAAUACUGAUUGCGAAGGCGACCUGCUAGAACAUAACUGACGCUGAUGCGCGAAAGCGUGGGGAGCAAACAGGAUUAGAUACCCUUGUAGUC
rnacentral:rRNA from 1 species